AUGUUUCUUGAAUCUUAUAUCUUCUUCAUUAAAUGUCUCGUUUUUCAUCUGGCAUGGCUGGAUAUAUUCUGGACAGGCCUCAUAUGAUUGAUUGAUGCGUUGGUUGAAUGAUAUAAUCAGUUACUAUGUAUUCAAUAAAUAGUAGGUAUUAUUAUUUUUAUAAUCCUAAUCCUACUUGACCACUUAUUUUACUUAAUAUAUUUAUUUCCCUUAGUUCUGCGACAUGACAUUCUCCUGCUUUUCUUCCUAACUUCUGAACUCUCUUUGCUGAUUCUUCUUACUCCACUGGACCUUUAAAUGUUGGAAUUUUUCCAAAUUUUGUUCUUCGUUCUCUUCUCUCUCCCUGAGCUAUGUCAAUGCCUCGUGGGACCCCAGAGACAAACUGUAUUCCCAUGAACCCCAAAUUGAUGUUUUCAGCACACACCCUCCUCUGAGCUCCAGACUCAUGAAUCCUACUGCCUGCCUGUAAUCUCCUCCUGAAUCGACUAAGAUGCCGCAUCUGCCACCUAGAGGAAUAAGAGCUGAAAACCAAAAUAAAGAUCCCGAUUUCAUUGUUUGUUAUCUAAAUGAAACAACAUCAUCACC